rnacentral:tmRNA from 2 species
GGGGGCGACAUUGGCUUCGACGUGGAUUACAAAACCUGAAGUGCAUGCUGAGGAUACAGAUUACCUCAUAAAACCAUCUGUAACUUUUUAGUUGCCAACGACGACAACUACGCACUCGCUGCUUAAAAACCAGUAGAGGCUGUCUGACUGGAGCCGUGCUUAUGCGUCCAGGCUCUUUUAGAGCAAUCAGGCAUCAUCUCUCAUAAGAUCGCAGAAAAACCUGUCCGAGGUGGAUUUGUUAAAACUUUUCGGAACCGCUGUUCUGAGCGCCCUGUUCGUCGGGUAUCAGGCAGUUAAAUUUUAAUAGACGGCACUAAGCAUGUAGAGCUGAAGGCAGAGGAUUUGCGGACGCGGGUUCGAUUCCCGCCGCCUCCACCA